AACGAACGCUGGCGCCAUGCCUAACUCAUGCAAGUCGAACGCCCCUCAAGAGGAGUGGCGAACGGGUGAGUAACGUGUGGGGACCUACCCAGCAGUUGGGGAUAACCGCGGGACACUGCGGUCAUUACCGACUAAGCCCUAAGGGAGAAAGGUUUCUCGCUGUUGGAGGGGCCCGGGUCGGAUUAGCUAGUUGGUGAAGUAACGGCUCACCAGGGCGACGAUCCGUAGCUGGUCUGAGAGGAUGAUCAGCCACACUGGGACUUAGACCCGGCCCAGACUCCUACGGGAGGCAGCAGUGGAGAAUAGUGGACAAUGGGGCCAACCCUGUUCCAACAAUGCCGCGUGAGUGAUGAAGGCCUUAGGGUUGUAAAGCUCUUUUACCGGGGACGAUGAUGACGGUACCCGGAGAAUAAGCCCCGGCUAACUUCGUGCCAGCCGCCGCGGUAA
rnacentral:rRNA from 1 species